GUGGUGGAAUUAUGCUUCGGAGUGAAGAGGUCCCCGGAUGCUCAUAGUAGCUGUGGUAGGUGAGUAAGGUUCUAUACUAGGAAGGAGAGGGCAAGGCUGGUGCCAGCCGGUGCGGUAAAACCAGCUCUUCAAGUGGUCGGGACUAUUAUUGGGCUUAAAGUGUCCGUAGCCUGUUUAGUAAGUUCCUGGUUAAAUCGGAUAGCUUAACUAUCUGUCUGCUAGGAAUACUACUAUACUAGGGGGCGGGAGAGGUCUGAGGUACUCCAGGGGUAGCGGUGAAAUGCUAUAAUCCUUGGGGGACCACCAGUGGCGAAGGCGUCAGACUGGAACGCGCCCGACGGUGAGGGACGAAAGCCAGGGGAGCGAACCGGAUUAGAUACCCGGGUAGUCCUGGCUGUAAACGAUGCGUGCUAGGUGUUGGUAUGGCUAAGAGCCGGAUCAGUGCCGUAGGGAAACCGUUAAGCGCGCCGCCUGGGGAGUACGGUCGCAAGGCUGAAACUUAAAGGAAUUGGCGGGGGAGCACCACAAGGGGUGAAGCCUGCGGUUCAAUUGGACUCAACGCCGGAAAUCUUACCGGGGGCCCCAGCAGGAUGAAGGUCAGGCUGACGACCUUACCAGACAGGCUAAGAGGUGGUGCAUGGCCGUCGCCAGUUCGUGCCGUGAGGUAUCCUGUUAAGUCAGGCAACGAACGAGACCCGCACCUUUUAGUGCCAGCAAGAGGCUUAGGCCUCGUUGGGAACGCUAAAGGGACUGCAUCAUAUAGAUGGAGAAGGAGCGAGCACGGCAGGUCAGUAUGCCCCGAAUCCCCGGGCCCACGCGGCUGCAUGGUAGGAAAUGGGACGCACUCGAAAGGAGAAGCUAAUCUCUAACCAUAUCUCAUUGGAUUGCGGCUGCACUCGCCGACUGGACGGGAACCCUAGGAAUCGGGUCAUCUCGCCGGUGAAUAGUCUCUGCUCUUGCACACCGAGGCGAAUUCGCGCGGUAAUUCAAUCGCCUAUGGAGUCGUUAAAUUAUGCGCGCGCGUUACAA
rnacentral:rRNA from 1 species